rnacentral:rRNA from 1 species
CCCUUAGAUGUUCUGGGCCGCACGCGUGCUACACUGAGUGGAUCAGCGGGUCAGGUUGCGCGAAAGCGUUUCCUAAUCUUUAAAUCCGCUCGUGAUGGAGAUUGACGGUUGCAAUUUUCUGUCAUGAACGAGGAAUACCUUGUAAGCGCGGGUCAUCAUCCCGCGCUGAAUACGUCCCUGCCCUUUGUACACACCGCCCGUCGCUCCUACCGAUUGAGUGGUCCGGUGAGUAAUUCGGACUGCAGCAGUGUACGGUCACGAACGUUGCAGCGGAAAGUUUAGUGAACCUUAUCACUUAGAGGAAGGAGAAGUCGUAACA